GACGAACGCUGGCGGCGUGCUUAACACAUGCAAGUCGAACGGAAAGGCCCUGCUUUUGUGGGGUGCUCGAGUGGCGAACGGGUGAGUAACACGUGAGUAACCUGCCCUUGACUUUGGGAUAACUUCAGGAAACUGGGGCUAAUACCGGAUAGGAGCUCCUGCUGCAUGGUGGGGGUUGGAAAGUUUCGGCGGUUGGGGAUGGACUCGCGGCUUAUCAGCUUGUUGGUGGGGUAGUGGCUUACCAAGGCUUUGACGGGUAGCCGGCCUGAGAGGGUGACCGGCGACAUGGGGACUGAGAGACGGCCCAGACUCCUACGGGAGGCAGCAGUGGGGAAUAUUGCACAAUGGGCGGAAGCGUGAUGCAGCAACGCCGCGUGCGGGAUGACGGCCUUCGGGUUGUAAACAGCUGUCGCCUGUGACGAAGCGUGAGUGACGGUAAUGGGUAAAGAAGCACCGGCUAACUACGUG
rnacentral:rRNA from 1 species